rnacentral:rRNA from 1 species
AUUGAACGCUGGCGGCAUGCUUUACACAUGCAAGUCGAACGGCAGCACGGGGGCAACCCUGGUGGCGAGUGGCGAACGGGUGAGUAACACAUCGGAACGUGUCCAGUUGUGGGGGAUAACCCAUCGAAAGGUGGGCUAAUACCGCAUGAGCUGGCAACAGGAAAGCGGGGGACCCGCAAGGGCCUUGUGCGAUUGGAGCGGCCGAUGUCCGAUUAGCUAGUUGGUGGGGUAAGGCCUACCAAGGCUUCGAUCGGUAGCUGGUCUGAGAGGAUGAUCAGCCACACUGGGACUGAGACACGGCCCAGACUCCUACGGGGGGCAGCAGU